AUGAGAGCAAAUAUUGCUCUACUGUGCAUAAAUCUUUCCCUUUCUUCUUUACUUUUUGUUUUUUCAUAUUUGCAUUUAUGGUUGGUAAUGCUAUCACCACAAUGAAUUUCUUCAAUGAUCAAAAAAUCCUUCACAACACAACUGAAAACAACUACAACAGAACCAAAUAUAGGGGAAAAGGCUUUAGAAGUGUGAUUGAUGCUUGUUCUAGAAGAUGUCCUAACACCAAUGGGAGUAAAGGCAGAGGUAAUGGACACAAGAUAUGCACUUUGUGCAAUAAGACAGGACAUACAGUGGAUGUAUUCUACAAGAAGCAUGGUUAUCCACCUCAUUACAAUAACAUCAACAUUGUCAUUGGAGAUGUGGAAGAGCAGUCUAAAGAACCUAAUGUAGAGGAGGAUAAUCAGUUUGGUUUUACCUUAGAUCAACACAAAGCUCUCUUGAAACUCAUUAAAGGACAAGACUGACAACAUAACACUAAUCAAAUAAGCAUUGAAAUAAUAAAGAAUCCAGGUAAUAUCUUGAAGCAGAAAGACUUGAUAAGUGAAGAUUGGAUCCUUGACACAAGAGCAACAUACCAUGUUUGUCACUCCUUGUUAAGCUUUCAAUCAUUUAGAAAAAUAAAGCCUAUAACUAUCAAGAUGCCUAAUGAAAGUUAGGUUACCACUGAUACAUC
rnacentral:lncRNA from 1 species